UCUCGGCAAUGCUUUAACAAAGAAAUUGUUGCAGCCACCUCCCCUGCUGGUGAUGACCAUAUGCAGCCAAUGCUGAUGUGAACCCGAGUGAUGAACAAAUGCAGAUCUGCAAAGGAGCUGUCCUGAGGCACCAUGCUUACUCAAGUCAUGCAGCGAGAGUCAGACGAUCUGAGUUCGUACACAGUUUGUACUGCUCCUACCGAAGAACUGGGCUCGUCCAUGCUGAAAGAAGCGUUUGGCAUGCCUGGAAAAGUACAUCAAAGCACACCCCAUCUGGCUGACUGCACUACCUCAAGGAAACUGCCUUUCUCCCAUCUGCAAGUUCCUAAGAAGUUACUAAUGAAGCAAGCCAGCAGGGCGUACGUGUUAGGCAUGGCAGCAUGGAGAACAAAUAAACAUGAGUAUUUGGUGCAA